rnacentral:tRNA from 1 species
GGGGCUAUAGCUCAGUUGGUUAGAGCGUCACACUGAUAAUGUGAAGGUCGCUGGUUCGAUUCCAGCUAGCCCCA